UAUGAUUCAACACAUUCUAAUGUUUGAAAAAGUGUUCAAAGAAAAUCUGUUGAUAUCAGUUUAAUAUCUGAUAUGUGGGCCAUUGGGCCACAUGAUAUUUCUUGUGUUGGAGGUCUCACCACAAUAGCUUGCUACUGGGGCUCUCAAUUGCCGUUCUUGCAUUGCACUACUGCUUGGGCAAAGAAAGU